UCCCUGCCCUGCGGAGGGCCCAGGACAGCCCCCGCCCUGCAGAAAGGACUUCCAGGGUGGGGUCUCCAUCUUCCAGCUUCCCAGCGGGGGACAACACCCAGGGCCCCCUUACUACAGUCCAGGGUGACACUCGCUCACCUGACACCCGACGGUGCUCCUGAGACCUGAGGCUCUGGGAACAAACCUGCCCCAGCCCCUGCAGAGCCCAAAACAAGCAAAAGAGGCCCCCACCCUAGGACACAGCUGGCCAGGCCUGUCAGUGCCUGAGCCCACAGCCAGGCCCUGAGGCCACAGCCAGGCCCUGAGCCCACACCAGGCCCUGAGGCCACAGCCGGGCCCUGAGCCCACAGCCAGGCCCUGAGGCCACAGCCGGCCCCUGGGCCCCCAGCCAGGCCCUGAGCCCCCAGCCAGGCCCUGAGGCCACAGCCGGGCCCUGAGCCCACACCGAGGCCCUGAGCCCACACCGGGGCCCUGAGCCCACACCAGGCCCUGAGCCCCCAGCCAGGCCCUGAGCCCCCAGCCAGGCCCUGAGGCCACAGCCGGGCCCUGAGCCCACACCCGGGCCCUGAGCCUACACCCGGGCCCUGAGCCCACACCAGGGCCCUGAGCCCACAGCCAGGCCCUGAGCCCACACCAGGCCCUGAGGCCACACCAGGCCCUGAGCCCACACCCGGGCCCUGAGGCCACAGCCAGGCCCUAAGCCAACACUGGGGCCCUGAGCCCACAGCCGGGCCCUGAGCCCCCAGCCAGGCCCUGAGCCCCUAGCCGGGCCCGGCAGCCCCAGGCCCCUCCUUGAUGAUGGUGACCUUUGCAAGCACACAGACCACAGCAGGCUUCUGAGUGGAGGGAAGGGGCUCACUUAGCAAAGCCGUGGCGACUCGUAAUCUCGUCUUCCGCAGUGAGCUCCCAGGACGGGGCAUCCACGACCUGAGGCACCUGUGUCCAGGAGUGACCUCAGUUAGACUCCCUGCAGCCUGACAGGGCCCCUCGGCACUGUGGUGACCGCUGGGCCUCCCAGCCACUUCUGAAGCCAUCGUCAGAGCCCAGCUUCAGUUACACAAAACGACCCAAAUUAACCCCAGGAUUUGCUUCGCCGUGGACCCACCUUGCACCGCACCACACCUCCCCAGGGGCGGGCUCCUGUGAGGAGCAGCUGCCCGGGCACUGGGCCUCGGCCUCGGGCUGUGCUGCCACUCCGUCAGGACGCGAUUAGGGCUGUGUUGGAGCCUCAGCUGGUCACCACCCUGUCCCACCCACUGUCUACCCCGUCCCUCCCCACCACACAAUCCCAGUGGAGAGGGCCUGGCCUGAAGAAAGCUACAGACCUGGGAUGGAAGCUCAGAGUCUGGGGGCCAAGGCCGGGAGCCACAGCCAGGAGCCGGCACAGGUGGGCAGCCGGGAGCCACAGCCAGGAGCCGGCACAGGUGGGCAGCCGGGGAGCCACAGCCAGGAGCCGGCACAGGUGGGCAGCCGGGGAGCCUCGGCUGGAAGCCACAGCCAGGAGCCACACAGCAGGGAGCCACAGCCAGGAGCCGGCACAGGAGGGCAGCCGGGGGGCCACAGCCGGGAGCUGGCACAGGCAGGCAGCUGGGCUCGAGGGAGCGGCUCUGGCUGUUAGGAUGGUGCUCCCUCCUGGCUCUCAUACAAUCUGUGCUUUGGCUACGUUGCUAACGGUUCUGUGUGCUGCUUGCAAAAAUGGGUCCAGAGGGCUGGUGCUGUGGCGUAGCAGGUAAAGCUGUUGCCUGCAGUGCCAGCAUCCCAUAUGGACGCUGGUUCAAGUCCUGGCUGCUCCACUUCCAAUUCAGCUCUCUAUUAUGGCCUGGGAAAGCAGUAGAAGAUGGCCCAAGUCCUUGGGCCCCUGCACCCACAUGGGAGACCUGGAAGAAGCUCCUGGCUUUGGAUUGGCACAACUCCAGCCACUGCGGCCAUCUGGGGAGUGACCAGCGGAUGGGAGACCUGUCUGUCUGUCUCCGCCUCUCUCUGUAACUCUUUCAAGUAAAUAAAAAUAAAUAUUUUUAAAAAAAGAAAGAAA